rnacentral:rRNA from 1 species
GACGAACGCUGGCGGCGUGCCUAAUACAUGCAAGUAGAACGCUGAAGGAGGAGCUUGCUUCUCUGGAUGAGUUGCGAACGGGUGAGUAACGCGUAGGUAACCUGCCUGGUAGCGGGGGAUAACUAUUGGAAACGAUAGCUAAUACCGCAUAAUAUUGACUAUUGCAUGAUAGUCAGUUGAAAGGUGCAACUGCACCACUACCAGAUGGACCUGCGUUGUAUUAGCUAGUUGGUGGGGUAACGGCUCACCAAGGCGACGAUACAUAGCCGACCUGAGAGGGUGAUCGGCCACACUGGGACGGAGACACGGCCCAGACUCCUACGGGAGGCAGCAGUAGGGAAUCUUCGGCAAUAGACGGAAGUCUGACCGAGCAACGCCGCGGGAGUGAAGAAGGUUGUCGGAUCGUAAAGCUCUGUUGUAAGAGAAGAACGAGUGUGAGAGUGGAAAGCUCACACUGUGACGGUAUCUUACCAGAAAGGGACGGCUAACUACGUG